rnacentral:rRNA from 1 species
AUUGAACGCUGGCGGCAUGCCUUACACAUGCAAGUCGGACGGUAACGCGGGGCAACCUGGCGACGAGUGGCGAACGGGUGAGUAAUGAAUCGGAACGUGCCCAGUUGUGGGGGAUAACUGCUCGAAAGAGCAGCUAAUACCGCAUACGACCUGAGGGUGAAAGCGGGGGAUCGCAAGACCUCGCGCAAUUGGAGCGGCCGAUAUCAGAUUAGGUAGUUGGUGGGGUAAAGGCUCACCAAGCCGACGAUCUGUAGCUGGUCUGAGAGGACGACCAGCCACACUGGGACUGAGACACGGCCCAGACUCCUACGGGAGGCAGCAGUGGGGAAUUUUGGACAAUGGGCGCAAGCCUGAUCCAGCAAUGCCGCGUGCAGGAAGAAGGCCUUCGGGUUGUAAACUGCUUUUGUACGGAACGAAACGGUCCUGGUUAAUACCCGGGGCUAAUGACGGUACCGUAAGAAUAAGCACCGGCUAACUACGUGCCAGCCGCCGCGGUAACAC